rnacentral:rRNA from 1 species
AUUGAACGCUGGCGGCAUGCUUUACACAUGCAAGUCGAACGGUAACAGGCCGCAAGGUGCUGACGAGUGGCGAACGGGUGAGUAAUGCAUCGGAACGUGCCCAGUCGUGGGGGAUAACUACUCGAAAGAGUAGCUAAUACCGCAUACGAUCUAUGGAUGAAAGCGGGGGACCGUAAGGCCUCGCGCGAUUGGAGCGGCCGAUGUCAGAUUAGGUAGCUGGUGGGGUAAAGGCUCACCAAGCCAACGAUCUGUAGCUGGUCUGAGAGGACGACCAGCCACACUGGGACUGAGACACGGCCCAGACUCCUACGGGGGGCAGCAGUGGGGAAUUUUGGACAAUGGGCGCGAGCCUGAUCCAGCAAUGCCGCGUGCAGGAAGAAGGCCUUCGGGUUGUAAACUGCUUUUGUACGGAACGAAACGGCUCUGGUUAAUACCCGGGGCUAAUGACGGUACCGUAAGAAUAAGCACCGGCUAACUACGUG